ensembl:lncRNA
AUUUCCCACAGCCCAGACACAGAGGAGCUUCCCUCUUCCCCAUAAUCUUACUUACUUUGUGUCAAAAUCACCAUUCUUCUGGGUCCAAGCUAAUUCUUAAGGAUGGUACCUUCUGCCUCCCUGAAAAGAAAUGGCUGAUGUAUCUUGAAGAUACAAAAUUGUUGAGUUUUUGAUCUACUGAGCAGUCUACUGAGGCAAAGGAAAGUUCUUAAGAUGGCUCCCCCUUCCAGGCACUGUCUGUAUUUUCUGGGAAAUACCAGGCAUUAACCUCUCCUGCACCCAGUCACUUGUCAGAGCUCAGGUCAUCCAUCUGCUCAGCCUGCUUAUCUGCAGCCAAGUGUACAUUCUUAAAGAUUCCUUCUUCAUGUGAUUGGUACCUGCUGAUGCCUCUGCUGAUGAAAAUGUAGUCUACCCACUUCACAGUUCAGAAAGUUGUAGUACAUGUGUCCAGGAAGUAGGACAUUUAACUUACCAAAGGUGUCCCGUGAUUUCCCAAAAAGCAGGAUUCAGAGCAAUUAAUCUUUGAAAACUAGGAUUUACAUUUUGAAAGCUUUAGAGAACUGGCCUGAAACAUCUCAUUGUUAUUUUAAGGAGUUUGUGGCCUUUUCAUGGAAGAUGAACAUUUGGCCCACUUUGGCUCAUUUUACAUAAACAUAUAAAACCAGUGAUGGUAAUGGAGAGAACCCACAAAAACCCAGUGCUGGGGCCUAAUCCUGAAGCAAAAGAUUUAUCAGUAAUGCUACCAGAGUUCCCAGAAUGUAUCAACUGAGUAGUACUCCAGGAAAACAGAACCUGGGAAGGCUCCGUGGUGAAGAGACCUUUGCGUUGGGUCCUGAAGGAUGUGCAAGCAUGUUUCUAGCACAAAAGGAGCUGGUCAUUCCAGGCAAGGGGAACUGUCUGCCAAGAUGUGCACUCCCAGUAUCAGUAGAGCUUUUAGAAAAAGUUGAAGAUUGCUGGACUGUUCUUUGCUUGAAGAUGCCUCCUUGACAUGUGCCUGUAGCACUAUUUGGAAGGAAGAUGACAAUUUUUCUCCAAUACCAG